rnacentral:sRNA from 1 species
GUAUUAGUAGAGCCUUUCUGCAAGAAAAGGUCAACAGAGAAAUUGUCAAAAUCUCUAAACUCCAUUUCCUUCCGUAUCAACAUACAUUUCUCCUUUUCCGCACAUGCGUAUUCCGAGAUCUGCACCACCUUCAGCCAUCUCUUUCAAAGACGACAUUCGAGAAGAAUGGAUUAACUAGACGGUGAAUUUCUGGAAGAAAUCCAUGGCCUUCGCAAUGUCAAGUAUGCAGCACCGAUUCAUUGGGAAAAUAGGGGGCCGCUCUUUCAUCGCCCUUCCUCCAUGCUAUGAAGGACUGGACUACCAUCACACUAUGCCAUUGCCCCUGUCGGCAAACAGCGGCCAACAAGCGGCUCGUGACCAAGGUAUUCCAGCAAACAACUGAGACCCAAGAAAUGGAUGGGAAGGUCGAUUUAUGACGCAGCAUGCAAGCUACGAGAGAUAUGGAAAAAUCAGUGAGAGCAAUUGCUCGAUGGAAUUCAGAAGGCGAAAGGAAAUCCAUGGUUGAACACUGCAGUGUUCUCGGACGCAUGCGGCUAUCCGCGAUACAUUACUAACCACUGCUAUCUUUGGACAACGCUUUUACUUCGAUCAAUAUCCAUCACCGCACACACAUCCCCUCCUGCAUUCCACUUCAAUUGCCCUCAUAUCCUGCCUGCUAACAAAGUGACCGGAUGGCCCACGAAGAAAUCUGUCCAGGUUUGCGCCCCAACCCAACUUUCAUGCCCGGCAUAAAAACAUCAUCUCCACCAUACACUCAUCCUUAUCAAGCUCUGCCCACCGGCAUCGUUAUUCUCGAACCCUAUACUGGCGAAGGUCAACCAUGAAAUAAUGUGCAAUUCCGAGGAGUAUGAAUUCGCCCUAUGCCAAUGCCUACAAUCGCUCCAAAACAGUGCAGCAUGGCCAGAAGAGCAGCGUCUCAAUCGCUUUGGGGGGAGCAUUCAAGACUCUGAUAGUCUCAGGUGGGGUGUGAUGGAAGAGAAGACGGGUGGAGAGAUGAAGGGUAUUCCAUGCCCAUAAAGCAAGCUACGGCAACUAAAAAAGGCAUCAACCUCAAGACAUCAUUCCUCUUUCAUAGAGUUGACCAGGCAAUAACAGGAAGCAAUUUAAUCCACAGACAAUGCUAGCAAAUCCACAGACAAUGCUAGCAAUUUAUACUAUUUAUGUCUACUUAGUAUUUGGGCACUACUUCUCGUGUUGUUCUCUUGUAAUGAUAAUACCCAUUUGCAGGUACUCCCGGGGGAAUUGGCAUCCCUCUCGCACCUGCUCCAUCAUUGGCUCGAGUCGAUGACCCAUCCCAGGCCUCUGGAGGCCAUCCGAUGAAAAAGAUACUGCAUCAAUAUCAGCAUAGUUUUAGGGUGAUAACAGAACUACAGAACCGGAACAGCCUACAUGAUCAUGAGAAUAGCCGCCGUCAAUCCCAUCCACAUCUUCCAGAAUCGAUGUCGUGUGAGCUCGGAGAUGUAAGAGCUGCAAAACCACAGAAGGACUUACCGCAGAUCCGAUAUGUACCUCGAUGUUUGAUACCUCGAAAGCACGAUGGGCAAUGCUCCAUCCAUAAAUGGAGAAUGUCCACGCAGCUACUGUGGUUGUUGUGCCAAUGCGCUAGAGUAUCUUGGUCAGCUCCCCAUUUUAUGAAGCCAGUGGUGGACAAUUCACUUCCAUGAUGAGGAAAAACAUCCUAUUGCCCACUGUACGUAACGCCUUGUUUUCGUGGACAAACAACAAUGGGACCACAGACAAAACGGUUAAGAAUACAAAGACAAUAGCUAUCACAAUUGCGUUAUUACAAGAGGACUUGUCUUUGGUCGGUGAAAGUACAUACCCAUUGCCCAAAGCAUCAUCCCCCCCGUCAAAGCCUUAUUCACUUGCGUACCAUAUUCAUACCCCACCCGAUUCUGUAAGCAGUAAUCUGGCGAACACCAGCCAAAUGAGCCGAACGUUGUGUCGCCAGCCAAAGAUGGAUUUUUCAGCCAACUGAUAGACGGGAUGAAGGGGGAGGAAAAUGCGCAUAGGAUACUGUGUGGUUAGUCGUCAAUUUUACAAAAGGAACGAAGCCAAACCACAAAGUCACUUACAUGAGCACGAGAGAGGCAAGAGACAAGACGAAAAGGAUGAUGACAUGCGCCCCGUAAGGGAACUUGUACGUGAAUACCAUACGGACCAAAGGUGAUGUUAGAGUUCGGAGGGCGAUGAGCUGGGCUGCUGCUUAUCAAAAGGCAGCGAUGAACAACUGAAGUUGGGCGAGACUGUUAACUUGGUUGUCGCUGCUUUCAGAGGAUAGGAUAUAGAUCAGAUGGUAAGGAUGGCGAAAUGAGUACCUUCUUUACUUCGAUAGCUUGAUAUAAGUAGGCAAAUAUGCUCACGUUACUGUAAUCCCUUUGUUUGAUCAUCGGCU